rnacentral:rRNA from 1 species
AUGAACCCCUCCUCGGCGCCGGGCCCUGACGGUCUUCCGGUCAUCUUCUUCCAGACCUUCUAGAACGUGAUUAAGCCUGAGAUCAUGGCCAUCUUCGAGGAAUUCUUCGUGGGCUCGAUUGACCUUGGCCGCCUCAACUUUGGGACCAUCUCCCUCAUUCCCAAGGUCCCUGGGGCGACGGACAUCCGCCAGUUCCACCCGAUUACGGUCAUCAACGUGAUCUUCCGGAUCCUGGCCAAGGGGUACGCCAAUAGGGUGACCCUGCUUGCUGACCGGAUCACUCACCCUAACCAAUCUCCGUUCAUUAAGGGCCGGUACAUCCUAGAUGGUGUCCUG